UUACCAGUUUUUUUUAUUAUUGUUACAGAAUCAUCUAAUGUCAACUUUCAAGCAGAGUUCAAGUUCAUGGACCAUUUAUUUAUUUUCCUUUAACAAGCUAGAAUGAAGAUUUUGCCAAGCAGACAACUGAAAUAGGGACUAAGCCCUGGGAUGAUGGUUUUGUUUUGGUUUCCCCAUGGAGCAGUAAUGUUUCACAAAAGGAGGACUGAGUGAUGAUAUUGGGUGUGCCAAGUAGGAGUUCGCUUAGUUGCUGACAUUGAAAGUGAAAGUGAAGAGCUUGAGUUCCCCAGAGCCUGAGAUAAAACUUUGUAUACAUAAUCAUUAGGAAUCUUCCCCAAAAUGCUAUUAGGAAAGUGGUAUUGGAAAUACAAAGGAUAGAAGGCCAACCAAGGGUGCCAUAUUGAACAAAGUCCUCUCAACUUGAUCCUUCGGAUUAUACCUAAUGCGGGAGAAAAGAAAACUGAGUUUGGUGCCCUUUGCUCCCAUCAAUCAUUGGAUAAUAGCUGCUCCUAGGGAUGUACAUUUGCAGAUUUAGUUCUUUAAGACCGUAGGCCAAGUAGUUCUGACACCCUGACCCAUUCUACUUUAUAGAGAGCGGCAAAUGCUGGCUGUCAUAGUGAAAGUACACAGGAGACAGUAUGGAAGAAAAUGAUGUGAAGGAAUAUGCUAAGUUAAGGGUUUCUCUGGGUACCCUGACAUUCUAUUUGAUCUUCACACUGCAUGGAAUGCUCCUCUUCUUUGGCAUCCACUGUUCCACAAUAACUGAUCCAGGUUAUACCCAGUCCCGUCACUUCUGAGAUAGCAUUUACUCUGCAUUUGGACCUUGCUUACAGCCACAUUCAGAAGUGAAAAUUGAGAUGUGUUAACUGAUUCUUGCAGCACUAAACAUUAUAUUUUUAGUCAUUCAUGCUAAAAGUUUUUAAACAUAUAGCUUGUGUUUUUAUCUUAAUAAGUCAACUUUACUCAAUAACAUAACUUUAAACUACUAGUGGUGUAACACACCUAAAAUUGGUGGCAUUAUUAUCUUAGAACAAUUAUUCAGUAAUACUUAUCUGCUCUUAACUUAGCCAUCUCAGGAAGAAAGAUGUGCUGCCUAUUCAGAACUUUGGGAUUUUAAAUAAAUCUGUGCCAUUAUCCUCAUUUCCUAUUUUUUUACUUUAUAUCAUAAAUUAUAAGAAGCUUUAUGAUCCUCAGUGUAAUAACUGCAAUAAAUUUUGAAGCAGAAGAUGGACCACCCUGUUUUUGUUUUCUUACCUUCAUUAAAUGUUCUUCUUUUCUGUCUGUAUCCAUGUUGACAUAUCAGUGUACACAACUUUGAUAAAAUAUUACUCAAUAAAAAAAUAUAUGAGACAUCAACUUUCUGGUGUCAUUGGUCCAUUUCUACUUCA
rnacentral:lncRNA from 1 species